UGGGUGUGUACCGGGGUGAAGUGAGAGGUAACGGACACUCUGAGCGAAGGGGUUUCGCUAACUCUUGUCGCCCCUUCUCGCGGCUGAACCUUUGGAGCCAUGGUGUACUCGGGCCUCUCAAGAGCUGCUGCCGCCGUUGCCACCGCCGUUACCGUCUCCGAAGAGUGAGGGUCCCGGACGAGGUGAGCGAGGAGGCUGCGGCCAGAACGGUAGGGUCAGCAGCUACCAACCAUGUCGGAUACCCGGCGACGCGUGAAGGUCUAUACCCUUAACGAAGACCGGCAAUGGGACGAUCGAGGCACCGGUCAUGUCUCCUCCACUUAUGUGGAGGAGCUCAAAGGGAUGUCGCUGCUGGUUCGGGCAGAGUCCGACGGAUCACUACUCUUGGAAUCAAAGAUAAAUCCAAACACUGCAUAUCAGAAACAACAGGAAAUGACAUAAAAGAAAAUUCCAAGGGAUACCUUUUAAAGCAAGGAAAGCCUGUUCCUGAGGUGAAAUUAAAUCCCUUGACUAAAGAUACGUUAAUUGUUUGGUCAGAAGCUGAGAACUAUGAUCUGGCGCUUAGUUUUCAAGAAAAAGCUGGCUGUGAUGAGAUCUGGGAAAAAAUCUGUCAGGUUCAAGGUAAGGACCCAUCAGUAGAAGUCACACAGGACCUCAUUGAUGAAUCAGAAGAAGAACGAUUUGAAGAAAUGCCUGAAACCAGUCAUUUGAUUGACCUACCCACGUGUGAAAUCAAUAAACUUGAAGAGAUUGCUGAUUUAGUUACCUCAGUUCUCUCCUCACCUAUUCGUAGGGAAAAGCUGGCUCUGGCCUUGGAAAAUGAAGGCUAUAUUAAAAAACUACUGCAGCUGUUCCAGGCUUGUGAGAACUUAGAAAACACUGAAGGCUUACACCAUUUGUAUGAAAUUAUUAGAGGAAUCUUAUUUCUAAAUAAAGCAACUCUUUUUGAGGUUAUGUUUUCUGAUGAGUGUAUCAUGGAUGUCGUGGGAUGCCUUGAAUAUGACCCUGCUUUGGCCCAGCCAAAAAGACACAGAGAAUUUUUGACCAAAACUGCAAAAUUUAAGGAAGUUAUACCAAUAACAGACUCUGAACUAAGGCAAAAAAUACAUCAGACUUACAGGGUACAGUAUAUUCAGGAUAUCAUUUUGCCUACACCAUCUGUUUUUGAAGAGAAUUUUCUUUCUACUCUUACAUCUUUUAUUUUCUUCAACAAAGUUGAGAUAGUCAGCAUGUUGCAGGAAGACGAAAAGUUUUUGUCUGAAGUUUUUGCACAAUUAACAGAUGAGGCUACAGAUGAUGAUAAACGACGUGAAUUGGUCAAUUUUUUCAAGGAAUUUUGUGCAUUUUCUCAGACAUUACAGCCUCAAAACAGGGAUGCAUUUUUCAAAACUUUAGCAAAAUUGGGAAUUCUUCCUGCACUUGAAAUCGUAAUGGGCAUGGAUGAUUUGCAAGUCAGAUCAGCUGCUACAGAUAUAUUUUCUUAUCUAGUAGAAUUUAGCCCCUCUAUGGUCCGAGAAUUUGUAAUGCAAGAAGCCCAGCAAAGUGAUGACGAUAUCCUUCUUAUUAAUGUGGUAAUUGAACAAAUGAUCUGUGACACUGAUCCUGAGCUAGGAGGUGCAGUUCAGUUAAUGGGACUUCUUCGUACUCUAAUUGAUCCAGAGAACAUGCUGGCUACAACUAAUAAAGCUGAAAAAAGUGAGUUUCUGAAUUUCUUCUACAACCAUUGUAUGCAUGUCCUCACAGCACCACUUUUGACCAAUACUUCAGAAGACAAAUGUGAAAAGGAUAAAUUUGUUGGAUUGAACAAAAACAACACAAUUUGUCCUGAUAAUUAUCAAACAGCACAGCUACUGGCUUUAAUUUUAGAGUUACUCACAUUUUGUGUGGAACAUCACACUUACCACAUAAAAAACUAUAUUAUGAACAAGGACUUACUAAGAAGAGUCUUGGUCUUGAUGAAUUCCAAGCACACUUUCUUGGCUUUGUGUGCUCUUCGUUUUAUGAGACGGAUAAUUGGCCUUAAAGAUGAAUUUUACAAUCGUUACAUCACCAAGGGAAAUCUUUUUGAGCCAGUUAUUAAUGCUCUCCUGGAUAAUGGAACUCGGUACAAUCUGUUGAAUUCAGCAGUCAUUGAGUUGUUUGAGUUUAUAAGAGUGGAAGAUAUCAAGUCUCUUACUGCACAUAUAGUUGAAAAUUUUUAUAAAGCACUUGAAUCGAUUGAAUAUGUUCAGACAUUCAAAGGAUUGAAGACUAAAUAUGAGCAAGAAAGAGACAGACAAAAUCAGAAACUAAACAGUGUACCAUCUAUAUUGCGUAGUAACAGAUUUCGCAGAGAUACAAAAGCCUUGGAAGAGGAUGAAGAAAUGUGGUUUAAUGAAGAUGAAGAGGAAGAAGGAAAAUCAGUUGUGACACCAAUUGAAAAAUCUAAGACAGAAGAUGAUUUUCCAGAUAGUUUUGAAAAGUUUAUGGAGACUAAGAAAGCAAAAGAAAGUGAAGACAAGGAAAACCUUCCCAAAAGGACAUCUUCUGGUGGCUUCAAAUUUACUUUCUCCCACUCUGCCAGUGCUACUAAUGGAACAAACAGUACAAACAGUAAAUCUGUAGUGGCUCAGACACCACCCACAAGUUCUAAUGGUUCUUCUUCCAAAACUACAAACUUGGCUACAUCAGUAACAGCCACCAAGAAUGAAAAAAUACAAGUAAGUAAACAGACAUGAGCCUGUAGUUUCAGCUACUUGGGAGGCUGAGACAAGAGGAUCACUUGGGCCCAAGAAUUUGAAGCCACCCCCAGCAACAUAGUAAGAUCCCAUCUCAGAGAAAGAAAAACUUGGAGAUUUCAACAAGGGUGCUCAGACAAUUCAUUAAGAAAAGUCUUUUCAACAAGUGAUGUUAUAAACUAAUUAUCCACAUGCAAAAGAAUGAUGUUGAACCCCCAGCCCAUACCAGGGAAGUUUGAUUGGCUUAGUGGAUUAUCCAGAUGAUGAAGAGGAAGAUGAAGAAGAAGAAACAUCCCCCAGGAAAAGACCUCGUCUGGGCUCAUAAAAUGUUUACUGGGGGUCCCCAGCAUGUGGUCUUACUAAAUUGCUGCAUCUGUUUCAUCAGCUGAAAAAUCUGAAUCAGAAAGCCUUCUCACUUGAACUUAGAAAUACACAAGGAGUAGCAAAAGAUCCUCUGUAUAUCAGCUAGGAGAGUUUAGUUCUGUUUAAAAAGAAAAAAGCUUCCCAGGAACUUAAUUGCUAGUAAUUAAGAGGUUUGCCUUUCAGGCUAUCAAGGAGAGAAAGAAAAGUUACUGGAGCCUGGGAGAUAGCUCGUUGGAAAGUCUCAGGUUUUAGGACGGUUUGCUAGAGGAAAAACAUUGGUAAUAGAAUAAUGCAAGGUUGCUCCACGGGGGGUGUCCAAUCUAGGCAAAGUUUAUAAAACUUCAGUUCCAAAUCCAACAAUAUUACUUGUAUAAUGGUGCUGGCCAUGUUGUUGUUUUAAACAGUUGCCUCUUUUUAAAAUGAAUUUUUAUGGACAACAAAUUUGGGACCAUUUCUUGGAGGAUUUCACAAAUUCAGCCUUUUGGAUUGUUGAAGGGAAGUACAUCCCGCAUUACAGCAUAUGUUGAGUUUUCUACACCAGGAAUUUUCAAUAUGUAUUUUGACAAAGACAAGCUGGAUUUUCAAAAUGGAUAGUUUUGUUAAUAUAACUUUAAACUCAGCACUUUUAGAGAUAACAGUGGCCAAGAAACAGUAUAUUGGAAUUCCAAAAUUAUCCUCUUUAGAAAAACCUUGGGAGUGGGUAGAACAGUUUUCAACCACCUACCAGUACAAUCUUGAGUAUAAUUGGAAGUCACGUGCUGCUUUAUUGGUAAAGUUGUGUGUCUAUUCAGAAAUGGAGGCAAAUGUUAAAGUAAAACUUACAAAGACAAAAGUGGUGCUGAAUACAAGCACCAUUUAAUAUCUAAAGCCAUUUUGAUCCAGGAAGUUACUUAAGUGUCAAAGCCACGUGGACAUACUAAGCUUUUCCAUCAAAGGGUGUAAUACAGAAGCUGCUUUUUUAAGAGUAAAAGCACAUUCCAUAUAUGUAAAUGAAUUAAAAAUAACAAAUUGAGGCAAACAGUUAAGUUUAUUUUUUAGAACCGCCAGUUAACUGUAAAUAUUUUAAUGUUAAUUUGCUCAUCUGUGAUCUGAGAUCAUGCUGAGAUGAGAAAAAUGUCCCCAAACUACAAUUUAAUGCAUUGAGAAAAAAAAAAAAUCUAAAAAUAGUAAUUCCAGCUACAGUCUUUAGAUCACAUUUGUAAUGUGUUAUGGGUCCAUUUCUCCUGGAAUAGCUUAAACUGAAGCAGUUUCCCCUGUUUUGGAGAUUUUGUAGUUAAUUUUCAUUUGGCUAUUGUUUGGAAAAGAUGGGCUGUCUGUGUAGAUAUGAAGUAUAGUUUUUCCAUAAAACAGAUGUUUAUUUUGUAUUAAAAAUACCACUGUACUUGUUUUACACCAUUUGUAUACAUGUGGUGAUAUUAAUGCUGAAAUGUAAAAUUCAGGAAUUAAAAUGUGACCCUGUAAUUCCA